CUUCAGUUUUACACCUUCUAAAUAGAAUGAGUAGAGUUUGAAAGUGCUAAAACAAGAAAUAAACAAUGAGAAAGUGUGAGUAAGCAUCAAUAGUUGGAGGAAUGUUGGGACAAUAUCAGAGUGAUCCAGGUUUAGACCACUGAAGAGCUGCAAAAAAAGUAAUGAGGUACCUUCAAGGAACCAAAGACCUCAUGUUUAUGUAUAGACGAACGGACAAUCUGUAAGUAAUUGGCUACUCAGAUUCUGACUUUGCUAUCUGUAUUGAUUCAUGCAAAUCAAUUUUAGGAUAUAUUUUUUUUUAUGGUUGGUGGAGUUGUAUCAUGGAGGAGUGCCAAGAAGACUUUGACUCUCACUUUCACUAUGGAAGCCGAGUUCAUCUCUUGUGUUGAGACUAUUUCACAUGGUGUAUGGUUUAAGAGUUUCAUUUCCGAGUUUAGAAUUACGGAUUCUAUUUCUAAGCCUUUGAGACUGUAUUGCAACAAUUUUAGCU